CAACAUACUCAUUGAAAUUAUCUUUAAAUUUCCUCCAUGUCUGCCAAAGUGCCUUUGUGCAGGAAGUCGCAUGCAUGAUAAACAUGCUUGAAUCAUCAAAUGAGUUGAAGUAAAACUCAGGUACUGACUGUGGGUAAAGAACAGAAGACUUUCUGAAAACUGUAACAUCUGUGAGUUUGAAAAUGCCAAUCAGUACCCUACUAUCACAGAGGACAGUCAUCAAAUCUUGCAUCUAUUUCUUGCCAUCCGUAUCAGAUUGAAGGCCUGAGCACAUUGCUAUUAAAAUAAUAUUUGUUUCUUUUGCAUAUAUAGUUGUAGAAGAGUUCAGAUGUUAAGUUUACAGUGAGAACGGAGAAACUCUGCGUGCCUUCCGGGUAUUGUCUGUUUUGCUAACACUUUAUAGUAAGGUGGCACAUUUGUUACAGCGAAGCAGCCAAUACUGACCCAUCAAUGAUAACAACAAUCCAGUUUAUUUAAUUCCCUUAAAAUAGACAGUUUUCACUACUGUCUAUUUUCUCUUCCAAGAUUCCAUCCAGGACCUCACGUUCCCUUUGGUUGUGUUUCCUGGGACUCCUCUUGGACUGUGAAAGUGUCUCAGACGUUCCAAGGGCUUGCUGACUCGGAGAAGUUUGAAGAAUAUAGUAUUGGUCUGAUACAUUUCUGUGGUUAGGCAGAGGCUGUGUACAGUUGGGAGGAAGACCAGAGGCGCAAAGUGCCAUCCACGUCACCUCUGAAUGGCACGCACACUCCCUGUGUGACAUGCUGCCAUGACGGUGACUCUGACUGAUCCUACAGCCCCAGGAGCGAUUCCCGCUUUCUGUACCACUAACUUGCUGUUUCUCCUCUUUUCCACACUGUAGUCUUUGAAGGAAGUCACUAUGUACAACACACUUGUGGAAGGCACAGUAUCUGCUCAUGCUUUUUCUGAGAAGAAGAUUGAGAGUGGAAUAAAAAGAAAAAGAGAAUGGCAGGAGAAGCAUCAAUUUUUAUUGUUUUUAUUAUUGCCCUAUAAUUUCUAACUUUCAGAUCCUUUAUUAAAAUA
rnacentral:lncRNA from 1 species